CACUGCGCGAGUUUUAAACUAGAGUGCACAUGGGAAUCAGAGAGUGUCAAGCUUUCACCCCCGCACGAAAACCCAACAUAAAUGCUUGGACGAGAAGUAGAAAAAAAUUCUUUUCCCAGCAUCUUCCAAUUGAAAGAGAUGAAUCAAAAGAGCAACAUAGAAGCGAAUCCCCGUUGCUCUUUCUACUCUUUAACUGAAAGAUCGGAAGAACCAUUGAUUUCAGCUGAUAGUGUAUCAAUAGAUGUUUUUUUACAACCCUCCCAAGCGAUAGUUGGUCUUGAAGUUUCGGAAUAAGCAUGUCCAGAUAUUCAUGGAUCGCUUUAGAAUUUGUAAAUUAUAGUAAAUUCCUACCUGCAACUGUGGUAAGUCGAAGUUUUUCCAGUACUGUACCAAAGACUGAACGUUCGCAGCCAUCUUUGCCCAAGACGAAUGACAACUAAUUUGUCCACGUGACCCAGCAUCCCUUGCAUAGCCUCGAAACCAAACAAGCACUUCAUAGCGAGAAUCAAAAUAAAGAACACCGACAAUCCAAAACAUGGAAUGUCUUGUGAAUGUUCGUGCUGGAAUAAUUGGGAAAUAUGAAGUUUUUGCAUAUCAACUAUACAAUAAAGCAGAAAAAUUCACUUAGGCAAAAAACUGGCAUUUAAUGACCUAGACAAAUAUUUUGACUGCCAAGGAACUUUCUCUCAGGAGACCACGAGAAAUGCUAAGGGCAGUGUUUUACAUCUGUUAACUAAGAAAUGGUCCGUUUUCAGCAUAAAAGGGCUUAUUAUGCAAAGCAGAGUAAACGUUACUCAUGAACAUAUGAAUUGGAUGGGGAUGAAGACUGUUUCACGGAUGAGAGUGAAAUUCAAUCAGAUUAUUUUGGAUGUAUAAGAGUCAAGCCUACUCAUAGAAAAUACAUAUUCCAUUGUUUGCAUUUCCGAAAUAUUUGCCUUAAUAGUCUUGUCAUAUUUCCUGAUGUAGCUGCAAUCUUGCAAAAUACAGAAUUCCUUAUGGGGUUCGAUAACUAGCCACCUAUAUUCAGACUUAAAUCAUAAACUUAUAUGAGAUUAAAAUUAUUUUGUUUUCCAGCAUAAAAUUACUUGUCAUGAAAUCAAAUUUAAAAAACUAUAUGAUAUUAUUAGAUUUCCGAUUAAAUCCAUGGAUCUUGAACUUCAUCGAAAUUGUUUCAUCUAUUUUGAAUGGUAACAUUAGUCUAAGUUGACUAUUUUAGUACCACAACUGUGAAAAUGCCUAGGACUUAUCAUAUCUGUGACCCAGGAUUAUAUACUUGAUAGAGUGUCAGAAGUCAUAAGAGAAUGAUGAAGUACGAAAUAUUGUUAAAAAUUCAUUUCUAAAAAGUAUAUUUUAUUGAAUAAAAAAUUAUAUUUAAUGAA